AUGGUUCAAGUCCAGCCAAUUGUGGGUACAAUUUCGGUUGGUACUCUCACUGAUGGUGAUGUGCAGCCACUUGUGCAGGAGGGGGAGCAACAAGUGCAGGGGGAGCAGCAAGGCAGUGGUGCAAGCUCAUCUGACACAGUGGAGCUACCUAUUGCGUUGCGAAAGGGGACACGUGAAGCGGCUCAGAAGGCUUUACCACCGGAGGUUUUGGAUGAUCAUGACAUUGGAAAUUUUGUGUCUUAUGAGGCUUUGUCUCCUUCCUAUAGAGUGUUUGUUGCCUCUCUUCAAACUGUGUCAAUCCCAAAGGAUUGGAAGGCUGCAAAGCAAGAUCCGAAGUGGCAUGAAGCAAUGAUAGAAGAGUUGGAAGCAUUGAGGAAAAACAAGACGUGGGUGCUAACCACAUUGCCGGCAGGAAAGAAAGCAGUGAGUUGUAAGUGGAUCUAUACAGUGAAGCAGAAUCCUGAGGGGAAGGUGGAACGGUAUAAGGCCAGAUUGGUCGCUAGAGGAUAUAGUCAAACUUAUGGAAUUGACUAUGACGAGACGUUUGCUCCAGUGGCAAAGAUGAACACAGUAAGGAUAUUGGUUUCCUGUGCUGCAAAUUUUGGGUGGAAAUUGCAUCAAUUAGAUGUCAAGAAUGCCUUCUUGCAUGGUGAGUUGCAGGAAGAAGUGUACAUGGAGAUACCACCAGGUUUUGGUACUUCACAGACCACGGGGAAGGUAUGUAGGCUGAAGAAAUCCUUGUAUGGACUGAAGCAAUCGCCGAGGGCUUGGUUCGAUAGGUUCAGACGUGUUGUCCGUGCUAUGGGUUUAUGUGGACGACAUUAUCAUCACCGGAGAUGA
rnacentral:rRNA from 1 species